UACGUAGGGGGCAAGCGUUGUCCGGAUUUACUGGGCGUAAAGGCGCGUAGGCGGUCAGCACAAGUCAGUUGUGAAAUCUCCGGGCUUAACUCGGAAAGGUCAACUGAUACUGUGCGACUAGAGUGCAGAAGGGGCAACUGGAAUUCUCGGUGUAGCGGUGAAAUGCGUAGAUAUCGAGAGGAACACCUGCGGCGAAGGCGGGUUGCUGGGCUGACACUGACGCUGAUGCGCGAAAGCCAGGGGAGCGAACGGG
rnacentral:rRNA from 1 species